CCCCCGAAAUAUAAAUCAUCCUUUUUUCUAAAUUUCAUUUGACUUGUUUACGUAGCUGUUGAUCCACCUUCACAAGCUUUAGAAGCCGUGACCUCAUCAAUCGAAAAUAAAGCUCUUCAAAAUCAACGGAUGCAUGAUGAGAUCAGCGUUGAAAGGCCAUCGGUUCAAUCAACCAAAAUUGCUCUAAGCACUACCACAGUUUUUGAUGCAGAUGGAUCACAGGGUUUACAACUUCGUCCAAAAGAAAAUUUGCUCGUCCAGGACACAGCAUCUAUUAUGAAUGAUGACAAAGAAAGUAAUAUUGCUUUUCUAAGGAAUUAAUUUUGUUUAUCUUUUUGCAGAAUUUGUGUUAUUAUAUUUGUUUCUC